rnacentral:snRNA from 1 species
GUGCUCACUUUGACAGUACAUUCACUAAAACUGGAAGGACAAAGAAGAUUAGCAUGGUCUCUUCGCAAGGAUGAAAUGCAAAUUUGUGUUUUGUAUUUUU